UACAGAGGGUGCGAACGUUGCUCGGAAUUACUGGGCGUAAAGCGCAUGUAGGCGGAUCCAUAAGUCGGGCGUGAAGUCCCCAGGCUCAACCUGGGAACUGCGCUCGAAACUGUGGGUCUUGAGUGUCGGAGAGGAUGGCGGAAUUCCUGGUGUAGAGGUGAAAUUCGUAGAUAUCAGGAGGAACACCGGUGGCGAAGGCGGCCAUCUGGACGACAACUGACGCUGAGAUGCGAAAGCGUGGGGAGCAAACAGG
rnacentral:rRNA from 1 species